GUCAAACAUUUUUGUUGCACGAAGUUCCCCGGGAAGUGUUUCAAGCAAAUCCCAUUUCUCUCUGUUUCUUUGGUUUUGUAAGGCAAUUGGCCUUUUUCUUCUACUAUAUUUAUAGGCUUCUCUAUUGCCAGAGAGUGAUUCACCGUCCCCAUCUCCGAGUAAUUGUAAAUAGCCCCCCUUCCUUUUUUUUAGAUUUGUGUUCAAGGAGAAGGUUUCUUUGAUUUGUGUUAAGUUUGCUGGUGUGCUAGCUUAGUGAAGGCCUCGGCUGGUAUGGUUGCUCUAACCAUUGGUUGCAUGAAUGAUUUUGGGUGGUUGCUUGUUGCUUUGAGGAAGGUAUUCUCUGUUUGUGACGAUGGUAGCUCAAGGGUCUACAAGUCAACUUGUCCUUUAAGACUGACCCUUAAGGCUCUUGAAAGCCAUGUGAGCCUUGCCUUCAUCCCCUCUAGUUGUGUCUUGUUUGGCUAUUUACUCAAAGUCAAGCUCUAUGUUGGUGUUCGACUCGGUUUGGGAUGGCUACUAUGGUCUUGAAGAGCUCCGCUUGAACUUGAAUCAUUCUCAUCUGUUUAGGCUCUCCUCUUCUUGGUGCUUCACGUUGCAAGAAAAGGCCAUCUUGACGAUAGUGACUCUGGUGUGAGACAACGCUGGGAUAAGGAAUCUGUGUUUUCCCGCCUCCUCUCUAAUAGAUUGCCUUUCAAGUCAAAUACCCAGUUUGGCUAGGGUUAUGUUGGAGAUGGUCUUGGGCCGAGUCUUUAGUUAUAUUUGAAUGUUUUAUUUU
rnacentral:misc_RNA from 1 species